rnacentral:rRNA from 1 species
UACAGGGGGGGCAAGCGUUGUUCGGAAUUACUGGGCGUAAAGGGCUCGUAGGCGGCCAACUAAGUCACACGUGAAAUCCCCAGGCUUAACCUGGGAACUGCGUGUGAUACUGGAUGGCUUGAAUUCGGGAGAGGGAUGCAGAAUUCCACGUGUAGCGGUGAAAUGCGUAGAGAUGUGGAGGAACACCGGUGGCGAAGGCGGGUCUCUGGGCCGAUACUGACGCUGAGGAGCGAAAGCGUGGGGAGCAAACAGG